rnacentral:tRNA from 1 species
GCCGGGGUGGUGAAAUGGUAUACACGCAGGACUUAAAAUCCUGUGCCCUUUAAAGGCGUAUGGGUUCGAGUCCCAUUCCCGGCA